AGCGAACGCCGGCGGCAGGCCUAACACAUGCAAGUCGAACGGAUCCUUCGGGAUUAGUGGCGGACGGGUGAGUAACACGUGGGAACGUGCCCUUUGGUUCGGAACAACUCAGGGAAACUUGAGCUAAUACCGGAUGUGCCCUUCGGGGGAAAGAUUUAUCGCCAUUGGAGCGGCCCGCGUCUGAUUAGCUAGUUGGUGAGGUAAAGGCUCACCAAGGCGACGAUCAGUAGCUGGUCUGAGAGGAUGAUCAGCCACAUUGGGACUGAGACACGGCCCAAACUCCUACGGGAGGCAGCAGUGGGGAAUCUUGCGCAAUGGGCGAAAGCCUGACGCAGCCAUGCCGCGUGAAUGAUGAAGGUCUUAGGAUUGUAAAAUUCUUUCACCGGGGACGAUAAUGACGGUACCCGGAGAAGAAGCCCCGGCUAACUUCGUGCCAGCCGCCGCGGUAACAC
rnacentral:rRNA from 1 species